rnacentral:rRNA from 1 species
UACAGAGGUCUCAAGCGUUGUUCGGAAUCACUGGGCGUAAAGGGUGCGUAGGCCGCACGGUAAGUCAGAGGUGAAAUCCCGGAGCUCAACUCCGGAAUGGCCUCCGAUACUGCCGUGCUCGAGGACUGGAGAGGAGUCUGGAAUUCAUAGUGGAGCAGUGAAAUGCGUGGAUAUUGUGAGGAACACUAGUGGCGAAGGCGAGACUCUGGACAGUUCCUGACGCUGAGGCACGAAGGCCAGGGGAGCAAACGGG